AUGUCUUGAAACCAUGGACUGCCUCUUUUCUUUGGGAUCCACCUUGGGGAGCCAUGGAGAAGGCCUUCACCUACAGAGCAGCUGUCUAAUCUCUCAUAGAAGGUCUCUCUGUGCUCUCAGCCAAGGUCACCACCAACCCAAGCUCACACCUAUCUGCCACGGUCAAACCAAGGACUCUCCCUGUGGGACCAGCCGGAGUUCCUCCCACCCACCUCGAUCCAACCUUCAGUCCUCAACUCCGUUCUCAGCUCUCAAGCGUCUCCCAGCAGUGCCUCCGUGACCAGGAGUCUGAGAACCAGAUGGCCAGGCCUCACCGCAGGCCCAGGGACCUGAGCCAGCUCCAUCUGUCCCGCACCUCAGACUGCGAUUCCCCACCCACCGAGUAGUGUCUGGGGCUCCUCUACAGCCCAGCAUCCACCCUGUGAAGGCCUGGGGACUGGUUUAUUUUAUAAAAGAAAACAAAGAUCACACAGAAGCUGUACCAGUGGUUCGUGGUUUGUAAUGGAAGAGACAUAACUUUGUGGGAAAGACUGAAGGAGGCAAAAGAAAUAUGCAG